rnacentral:rRNA from 1 species
AUUGAACGCUGGCGGCAGGCCUAACACAUGCAAGUCGAGCGGAUGAAGGGAGCUUGCUCCUGGAUUCAGCGGCGGACGGGUGAGUAAUGCCUAGGAAUCUGCCUGGUAGUGGGGGAUAACGUCCGGAAACGGGCGCUAAUACCGCACACGUCCUGAGGGAGAAAGUGGGGGAUCUUCGGACCUCACGCUAUCAGAUGAGCCUAGGUCGGAUUAGCUAGUUGGUGGGGUAAAGGCCUACCAAGGCGACGAUCCGUAACUGGUCUGAGAGGACGAUCAGUCACACUGGAACUGAGACACGGUCCAGACUCCUACGGGAGGCAGCAGUGGGGAAUAUUGGACAAUGGGCGAAAGCCUGAUCCAGCCAUGCCGCGUGUGUGAAGAAGGUCUUCGGAUUGUAAAGCACUUUAAGUUGGGAGGAAGGGCAGUAAGUUAAUACCUUGCUGUUUUGACGUUACCAACAGAAUAAGCACCGGCUAACUUCGUG